GGCCUAUAACCUAUCUCCUGGAGAUGUUGCAAUUCAGUUAGAUUUGAUCACCAAAGUUUAUGGCUUAGACGAAGCGGAGCGAUAUUUUCAUAGCAUCCCUGAUACUUCAAGAGGCCACCAGGUUUAUGGUUCUCUUUUAAACUGCUAUGCGCACAAGAAAUGUUUAGAGAAAGCGGAGGGCAUCAUGCAAAAAAUGAAGGAGUUGCAGUUUGUAAAAAAUCCACUGGCUUACAAUGUAAUGUUGAAUCUUUAUUCUCAGAUGGGUAAAUAUGAGAAAUUAGACAUUUUAAUGGAAGAGAUGGAAGAAAAGGGCAUCAAUUGUGACAUGUUUACGUUUAACGUCAGGUUGAAUGCUUAUGCAGCCUCUUCUGAUAUCGAGGGAAUGGAGAAACUUCUAAUGAAGAUGGAGGCUGAUCCUGUAAUCAACAUGGACUUCCAUUCUUAUGUUACUGCAGCAAAUGGUUAUUUGAAAGCUGGCCUAAUUGAAAAGGCUUUAAUGUUGUUGAAGAGAUCAGAGCAAUUAAUUAAAGGUAAGUCAAAAUGGUUACCCUUGGAAAUGCUCCUCACUUUAUAUGCUGCUGCUGGGAAUAAAGAUGAAGUCUACCGUGUUUGGAAUUUGUACAAAAAUAAUGGGAGGUUUUUAAAUUCAGGCUAUAGUUGUAUGAUCAGUUCAUUAGUGAAGUUGGAUGAUUUGGAUGGUGCUGAGAGGAUAUGGGAGGAGUGGGAUUCUGGGAAGCAGCUGUUUGAUAUUCGCAUUGCAAACUUGAUGAUUGGUGCUUAUUCCAAAAGAGGUCUUUUGGAAAAGGCUGAAGCAUGCAUAAACAAGAUUAUAGAGAAUGGGAUGGAGCCUGAUGCGAUCACAUGGGAUCAUUUGGCUACUGGAUAUCGUGCAAGUGGUCAAAUGAAGAAAGCAGGAGAAGCAAUAAAGAAAGCAAUCUCAACAACUAAGAGGGGAUGGAAGCCCAGCCUUACUUUGUCCUCUUUUCUUGAGUAUUUGAAGGGUAAGGGAGAUAUUGAAGCAGUAGAAGACCUUUUGAAGAUGGUCAAGGAGCAUUGUCAUUUCUCCGCAGGUGCUACUGCUAAAUUAUCAAGUUUUAUUAGCAAAGAAAACCUAACAACCAACUCCCUCGAUCAGAAGGAAGAUGAUGAUGAAAUUUUUGGAGGAGAACAACACUUCAUAGAGAAGGGAAGCACCUGAAUUAUGCCAGGUUAAUUAUGGCGCUAUGUUAGUGAAUUAUUAUUAUAAUUAUUAUUACUAUGGAACAGCCUAUUGCCAUUGAAACCAUUGUUGGCUCAUAGCUAAUAUUAGGUAGUUCCUCCAUGUGAUAUAAUGAUGAUCUUCC
rnacentral:misc_RNA from 1 species